UAAUGAAUCACUCGGUUCAUCGGCUGAUGAAGAACGCAACCCUCUGCGAGAUUUGGUGUGAAUUGCAGAACAUAUUGAACACUGAUUUUCGAA